rnacentral:rRNA from 1 species
UACGUAGGGAGCAAGCGUUGUCCGGAAUCAUUGGGCGUAAAGGGCGCGUAGGUGGCCCAGUCAGCGUGCGGUGAAAGCUCGGGGCUCAACCCCGGGUCGGCCGUGCGAACUACUGGGCUGGAGCACUGUAGAGGCAGGCGGAAUUCCGGGUGUAGCGGUGGAAUGCGUAGAGAUCCGGAAGAACACCGGUGGCGAAGGCGGCCUGCUGGGCAGUUGCUGACACUGAGGCGCGACAGCGUGGGGAGCAAACAGG